rnacentral:lncRNA from 1 species
GGUUCCCAUGCACUGAUGUUCUUCAACCAGCUCCAAAGCCUUUCAGGAAAAUACACGAAGGUGACAGCAACAGAAAAUACUCUGAAUUGUGAUUUUUUGGAAAAGAACAACUCUUAAGGCCACCUUAAGUCUUGUGAAAACACAGAUGCGCAAGGACGACGGGUGCAGAUUCCUGGUUUUUCUCCUGCUGCCUGCACACGCGUUGGGCGCGUGCAGCUUCCCAACCGCUGCAGCUGACCCCAUCUCAGCACCUCCCUGAAUGGCAUCAGCCCCCAGUGAGCCCCCGGGGCUGGUUUUGCCCCAAACAAAAGAAAAUGCAAUCAAACCCGUUAACAUUGGCCUCAUCCCCUGGUUAAGGCAGGAGCCGGCGCCGUGGGGGACCUGAGACAGGUGUUUGCAAUGCAAUGGCACCACCGACCGUGGGAAAAGGAGCAAAGAAAAACGACUGGGACCAUUAGCUGGUGCCGCGACCGGCGGCUCAGGAGCACCCGUGUCCUCCUGCCCACCGAGCACGGCGACAGCCCAACUGGACCACGUGCAUUUUACGGGAAUUUUCCCCAGCACCGUUUAAGUUACCAGCAUGCCCAUAGUCAACGGGUACCAGGGAUGGACAGGAAAGAAAGUCCCAGGGAAAUACCUUGUUUUCUAGCCCAACCUUGCCAUGCUGGUUUGGGGCCUGCACCCUCAAGCACAACCGCAGCCUCAUGGAGAAGAGGAGAUGCUCUGCAAGGUGCAUCUUUUCUUCAGGUGCCACCGAGGGGGUCACGGGGCCUUUUCCGCAAUCCCAUGCUGUCCCAGCCCAGGGAGAGUUGGCCAACGGGAUGUCCACCCACGAUGCUGCAGCCCCAUCUCCUCCUGCCCAUCCCAGUGCUCACCUCCGCCUGGUCCCCAAAGCUCAGCGAUGAUACCCAGGGAGCUGCCGACACAAGCAGGCAUGUCCUCUUCUGCCUGAACCACAUCUACCAAAAUAAAUCUGGGGUCCGCAUCUACCAAAAUAAAUUUGCACGUGUGACAGCCCAGGGCUGGGGGAAAUCAGGGCCCUUCCAGGAGCUGAAGGGGAGCAGGAAAGAUGCGUGCAGCUUUCCCGCUUUGUUGGCUGUCUUUAUUUCCCCAUCUCAGACCCACAUGCGGUAUUUCUCUGACUUCCUUUUUCAUGAUUUUUCUGACUGUGCGUUUACAACUGCGGGUGUCAGAGACCUGCUUCACCCCCUGGAAGCAAGCGUUGAUCCAAGCGCCCGCUUUGGGUAGUCAGUGAUGCAGAUUUCUACCACAUUUUUAGUGCGAGACGAUUUUUUUCUGGGAAGACUUCCCUUAGCAGCAUUCGUAAGAACGCCCUGCACAUGAAACAACACAAGGAGGGUAUGGCCUUUUUGGAUGCUGUUGCAGGGACAGAGCGUCCUGGAACUUCUGAC